UGCGUUUCGUAGGAAAGAUUUAGCACAGCAUUUCACGAAUAAGACGCAUCUCUGUUGUUUUCGGUAGUUUUCCGUCCUGUUUUUGAUUCCGCGCGUUUUUUGUUUCCGCACAACGCUGAUCAGUCAUCAUUUCAGAUGGUCUGGCGGCACAUUAAAUUAUCGAUUUCAGGAUUAAAUUAUGUCUACUACUACCGGUACUGUUAAGUUUUUCAACGAAGCAAAAGGUUUCGGCUUUAUCACUCGCGAAAGCGGCCCGGACGUCUUCGUUCACUACAGUGCAAUUCAGGGUGGCGGUUUCAAGACUCUGGCUGAAGGCCAGCAAGUCGACUUCACCGUUACUGAAGGCCAGAAAGGUCCUCAGGCAGAAAACGUCGUUGCUGUUUAAAUAACAGCCCGCACGUUUCAGAAAAGGCAGCUUCGGCUGCCUUUUUUUGU
rnacentral:sRNA from 1 species